rnacentral:rRNA from 1 species
AACGAACGCUGGCGGCGUGCCUAACACAUGCAAGUCGAGCGAUCUUCUUCGGAAGAGAGCGGCGGACGGGUGAGGAACGCGUGGGUAACCUGCCCUGUACACACGGAUAACAUACCGAAAGGUAUGCUAAUACGAGAUAAUAUGCUUUUAUCGCAUGGUAGAAGUAUCAAAGCUCCGGCGGUACAGGAUGGACCCGCGUCUGAUUAGCUAGUUGGUAAGGUAACGGCUUACCAAGGCGACGAUCAGUAGCCGACCUGAGAGGGUGAUCGGCCACAUUGGAACUGAGACACGGUCCAAACUCCUACGGGAGGCAGCAGUGGGGAAUAUUGCACAAUGGGCGAAAGCCUGAUGCAGCAACGCCGCGUGAGCGAUGAAGGCCUUCGGGUCGUAAAGCUCUGUCCUCAAGGAAGAUAAUGACGGUACUUGAGGAGGAAGCCCCGGCUAACUACGUGCCAGCCGCCGCGGUAA